AUGUUGGAGAUUCCAUCCUUUUCCAGAGCAUCCAUCCCACUUUGGAUGAUCCCACCCAUCCCAGAUCAUCCACCCCUCAUCCUGGAGCAGCCAUCUUUUUCCAGAGCUUCCAUAGAAUAUCCUUCCUAUCCUGGAGUAUCCUUCCCAUCUGGAGCUUCCAUCCCACCUGGAUCAUCCAUCCCACCUUGGAUCAUCUGUCCCACCCUGGAGCAUCCAUCCCACCUUGGAACAUCCAUCCCAUCUUGGAUCAUCCACCUUUUUCUAGAGCUUCCAUCCCACCUUGGAGCUUCCAUCCCACCUAGAACAUCCCUCCUAUCCUGGAACAUCCAUCCCACCUUGGAUCAUCUGUCCCACUUUGGAUCAUCUAGCCCAUCCUGGAGCUUCCAUCCCAUCCCAGAGCAUCCAUCCCACCUAGGACCAUCCAUCUUUUUCCAGAGCUUCCAUCCCACCUUGGAACAUCCAUCCCACCUUGGACCAUCCAUCCUUUUCCAGAGGUUUCAUCCCACCUUGGAAACUUCCAUCCCACUUUGGAACAUCCAUCCCACCUUGGAACAUCCAUCCUUUUCCGGAGCUUCCAUCCCACUUUGGGUCACCCCUCCCGCCCAUCCCAGCACCUCCAUCCCACGCCCUCCGCUGCCCCCCAUUCCCGGCUCUCUCCGCCUCUUCCCGAGGCCAAACCCAGGAAUUUUGGCUCAUUCCAGGAUUUCCCCAAGUCCCCCCUCAGCCAGGCCAGGCCGGGGUCACCCGGGUAGGGACAUCGGGGGGAUGUCCCCUCAUCCUGCUCUGCGUGGCUGCUCCGGAGCCAUCCCAGCUCUGAGGGGAGGCAAGGGGUGGGCACAGGGGACAGGGAUGUCCCCAGUCCUUGUCCCCGCUCCUGUCCCGGUGGGAUGGGGGGUCCGGAGCCCCUCCGGACACGCCGUCCUUAGGAAUAGGCCAAUCCCUGGAGCGGCCGCGCCGGAGCGUGGAAUUUGUCCGAGUCCUCGAAAGCCGGGUCUGGGCAGGACAGGGACAGCGUCAGGAGGGGACACCGGGGACACCAGGGACAAGGGUGGCAUGGGACAACACCAGGUGUGGGCGUCACAUGGGCAGGGACGUCAGGCAGGAGUGCGGUGA
rnacentral:lncRNA from 1 species